CCCGAAAUCUAUUCAGAAACUACCUUACCUUACGCAUCUCGAUCUGUGGGCGAACUACCUGAGUGGUAACAUACCACUGGAAUGGGCUAAUACGAAGCUGGAAAUCUUGUCUAUUGCUAUCAACCGCUUAACCGGACCAAUUCCUAGCUAUCUGGGAAAGAUUAUCACACUCAGAUGCUUGAACAUUCAAAAUAAUAUGUUUUCUAGAAUAG